rnacentral:rRNA from 1 species
UACGGAGGGUGUAAGCGUUAUCCGGAUUUACUGGGUUUAAAGGGUGUGUAGGCGGACUUUUAAGUCAGCGGUGAAAUCUCCGGGCUCAACCCGGAAACUGCCAUUGAUACUAUUAGUCUUGAAUGUUGUUGAGGUGGGCGGAACGGGUCAUGUAGCGGUGAAAUGCAUAGAUAUGACCCGGAACACCGAUUGCGAAGGCAGCCCACUAAGCAACUAUUGACGCUGAGGCACGAAAGCGUGGGGAUCAAACAGG